UCUCCGUUGGUGAACCAGCGGAGGGAUCAUUACAGGACUCGCAAGACUCCUUCACCCUGUGAACCUCACUACAAGCACGUUGCUUCGGCGGGUGUCCCGGCGGGGGUUUUCCCUCGCCGGGGCGCACAGCCCGCCGGCAGCCUACUAUACUCUGUCUCUUUGCGUUGGCAUCUCGAGAAAAAACAAACAAGUUAAAACUUUCAACAACGGAUCUCUUGGUUCUGGCAUCGAUGAAAACGCAGC
rnacentral:misc_RNA from 1 species